GAUGAACGCUAGCUACAGGCUUAACACAUGCAAGUCGAGGGGCAGCGGGAUUGAAGCUUGCUUCAAUUGCCGGCGACCGGCGCACGGGUGAGUAACGCGUAUCCAACCUUCCGUACACUCAGGGAUAGCCUUUCGAAAGAAAGAUUAAUACCUGAUGGUAUGAUGAGAUCGCAUGGUAUCAUCAUUAAAGAUUUAUCGGUGUACGAUGGGGAUGCGUUCCAUUAGGUAGUAGGCGGGGUAACGGCCCACCUAGCCUACGAUGGAUAGGGGUUCUGAGAGGAAGGUCCCCCACAUUGGAACUGAGACACGGUCCAAACUCCUACGGGAGGCAGCAGUGAGGAAUAUUGGUCAAUGGACGAGAGUCUGAACCAGCCAAGUAGCGUGAAGGAUGAAGGUCCUACGGAUUGUAAACUUCUUUUAUAAGGGAAUAAAACCUCCCACGUGUGGGAGCUUGUAUGUACCUUAUGAAUAAGCAUCGGCUAACUCCGUGCCAGCAGCC
rnacentral:rRNA from 1 species